rnacentral:rRNA from 1 species
CGUCGUGAGACAGUUCGGUCCCUAUCUGUUGUGGGCGUAAGAAAUUUGAGAGGCUCUGACUUUAGUACGAGAGGACCGAGUUGGACGAACCUCUGGUCUACCGGUUGUGGUGCCAACUGCACCGCCGGGUAGCUACGUUCGGUGAGGAUAAGCGCUGAAAGCAUCUAAGUGCGAAACCCUCCCCAAGAUGAGAUUUCUUUAUAAAGGUCGUUGUAGACGACAACGUUGAUAGGCUGCAGGUGUAAAGGCAGUAAUGUCAAAGCU